CUUGAAUUUAUUGUGACUUUUUUUUUUAACAAGAUCAAUAUAACAAUGCAAUUUAUUGAUUGGAAAUAACCACCAAAGGGUAUUUCCAUAACCUCCCUAUGCAUUUAUAAACUUAUAUAAUUAAUUGUUUUUCAUUUUAAAAGCUACUACAUGUGGCCUGAGCAUUAUACAUACGUUUCCUCAUCUUGACAUUUAUCAAUAUAUUUGUGUAUGUUGUAAAAACAACACAUCAGCAUAUAUUAUUUUGGUGAAGGCUUUCUAAUGCAUACUUUUAAAAAUGGACGUGUUUCAACGUGUGAAAAUAAACAGCGACUCCUAAAAAGGUUGCAUGUUUCAAAGUAAGAUAUGUGAUAGAUUGUAAAUACAGAUCUAAAUAAAAAUACUGGACCUUGUAACUGGAUCUGCAAAUGUCUGAGGAUUCAAAUUUGUAUUUCAAUUAAUUAUAAAAUUCAAUCUAAUUUGCAUUAUUGCAUAUCAAACUUACGCUCAGAUGAAAAAAAAAAACAACUAAUAAGCACCUGUAUACACAUGUUGGCCAGAGCGAUGUGACAGCUUGCCAAUUUAGGUCUAGAUUGACAGCCUAUUGGACAGACAUAACGUGCCUACCUAACUUAUUCCAAAUAAAAAGACGAACCCCCAUAUAAAAACAUUGUAACACAUCUAUAAAUAUAUAUUUAUAAGUCCCACGUGUCUUAUGCUAUACUUAGACGGGAUAGACUGCUAACCAAUUAUUCUUAUGUUACGAAGAAUGAUGAUCCAUGUCUAAGGAUCAUGGGAACUGUAGUUUAUCAACAGCAGGAGAUAGCUCUGCAAUACAGCUUUGGCUUUGCAAUUUUUUCAGAUAAUCAUAGCAAAAACUGUUUUGUGUCCAGUAAUUGGACCAUCCUUGCCCUAGGGACCUCUGUAUGUACUUCAACGCCUGCUGCAUAUGGAAGAAUAUAUUUUAUCAUAAGAAAACCUGCACCUUUUGUAAUGCUGUCAGCAUAUUUAAAGGUUUUUGGAAAUCAUUGUUAAUCAGGAAUAGUUGAAAUUAGCAUGAGCACUUUACUGCUCUAUAUCACAUGUAGGUGCAAUUUAGUUGUUGAUCAGAUAUUCUCUUGCCAAAGUGCAAAAACUAUAUAUUUCUAGUUUCUCGAAAUAAAUAUUGCAAUGUAUAUAUGUUUCCCUUACCCACGGGACAUCAGGGAAAGCGUUGUAGACCCUCUGGUAACUGAAGGGUUAACACCCAUAAAACUGUGGCCCAUUGCAGGUCAUUCCUAAUAUCGAUCAAUCGAUGACGACA